rnacentral:rRNA from 1 species
AUUGAACGCUGGCGGCAUGCCUUACACAUGCAAGUCGAACGGCAGCGGACCUUCGGGUGCCGGCGAGUGGCGAACGGGUGAGUAAAGUAUCGGAACGUACCUUUCAGUGGGGGAUAACUGUCCGAAAGGACAGCUAAUACCGCAUAUUCUGUGAGCAGGAAAGCAGGGGAUCGCAAGACCUUGCGCUGAUUGAGCGGCCGAUAUCAGAUUAGCUAGUUGGUGAGGUAAAGGCUCACCAAGGCGACGAUCUGUAGCGGGUCUGAGAGGAUGAUCCGCCACACUGGAACUGAGACACGGUCCAGACUCCUACGGGAGGCAGCAGUGGGGAAUUUUGGACAAUGGGGGCAACCCUGAUCCAGCCAUUCCGCGUGAGUGAAGAAGGCCUC